rnacentral:rRNA from 1 species
AGUGAACGCUGGCGGUAGGCCUAACACAUGCAAGUCGAACGGCAGCACAGUAAGAGCUUGCUCUUACGGGUGGCGAGUGGCGGACGGGUGAGGAAUACAUCGGAAUCUACUUUUUCGUGGGGGAUAACGUAGGGAAACUUACGCUAAUACCGCAUACGACCUACGGGUUAAAGCAGGGGAUCUUCGGACCUUGCGCGAUUGAAUGAGCCGAUGUCGGAUUAGCUAGUUGGCGGGGUAAAGGCCCACCAAGGCGACGAUCCGUAGCUGGUCUGAGAGGAUGAUCAGCCACACUGGAACUGAGACACGGUCCAGACUCCUACGGGAGGCAGAAGUGGGGAAUAUUGGACAAUGGGCGCAAGCCUGAUCCAGCCAUACCGCGUGGGUGAAGAAGGCCUUCGGGUUGUAAAGCCCUUUUGUUGGGAAAGAAAAGCAGCAGGUUAAUACCCCGCUGUUCUGACGGUACCCAAAGAAUAAGCACCGGCUAACUUCGUG